AUUGAACGCUGGCGGCAUGCCUUACACAUGCAAGUCGAACGGUAACAGGUCUUCGGAUGCUGACGAGUGGCGAACGGGUGAGUAAUACAUCGGAACGUGCCCGAGAGUGGGGGAUAACGAAGCGAAAGCUUUGCUAAUACCGCAUACGAUCUCAGGAUGAAAGCAGGGGACCGCAAGGCCUUGCGCUCACGGAGCGGCCGAUGGCAGAUUAGGUAGUUGGUGGGAUAAAAACUUACCAAGCCGACGAGCUGUAGCUGGUCUGAGAGGACGAACAGCCACACUGGGACUGAGACACGGACCAGACUCCUACGGGAGGCAGCAGUGGGGAAUUUUGGACAAUGGGCGCAAGCCUGAUCCAGCCAUGCCGCGUGCAGGAUGAAGGCCUUCGGGUUGUAAACUGCUUUUGUACGGAACGAAAAGACUCCUUCUAAUAAAGGGGGUCCAUGACGGUACCGUAAGAAUAAGCACCGGCUAACUACGUGCCAGCCGCCGCCGUAACAC
rnacentral:rRNA from 1 species